CGGAGGCUCAACAAACUGAGCCACCCAGGCGCACUGGAAAAAAAAUACAGGUAAACUUAGUCUAUUUCUGGCAACCUAUUGACUAGGAAUUUAAUGGCCUACUUGAGUUUUCAGGAACACAUGGCCUCCUAUAUGGUAUAAACACUUCGGGGCACCUGGCUGGCUCAGUGUCUAGAACAUGUGACUCUUGUCUCAGGGUCAUGAGUUCGAGCCCCACAUUGGGUGCAGAAAUUACUAAAAAAGUAUAUAGCACUUACCUUUGACCAGAGGAAGUGUGAGCACAGAAUGCAAAGACUCCUUUGAGCUUGUUUACUUAUCUAUAAAAUAAUGUUGAUAAUUCUUAACCCAUCGUGAGGACUGAAAAUAUGUCUGUGAAAGGACUCUGGGAACCAUGAGGCAUAUCGAUGGUGGUAAUAAUCGACUCCCGACUUCCCUUUGAACUGAGAGUUGGUCACAGCACUCUGGCUGAUUAGAUUGGAUUAGAAAGCAGGAAAACUU